rnacentral:lncRNA from 1 species
CAUCGGGUGUUCUCCAAGUCCAGGUGCUGGUGGAAAAUACUGACGGGGCUAUGCAUGUUGUUGUUGAAGUAACUGUUGCUGUGUUUGAACUACUCCGAUCAGGGUUUGCAUUAGUUGAGUCAUAUUCGGCUCCUCCUGUACUGUCGGAGUAUUUUUGGUAGGAUCAAAGAUUCCCUCCUGCUGAGUUGUGCCGUUAUUUAAUUGGAGAGUGUUAUCGCCAAGUGGAUUUGAUGUCCCUCCUACCGCUCCUU